UAAGAAGGCCUCUCUCCAACCAUCAGACACCAUCUUAACUUCCAAUUCACCUACCACUUCUCUUCCCGACCACUUGCCCUUUCCCAUCAUUUCUGGCACUUAAAGAACCGAUAUGGGCUCCAUCAAAGUUCAAGCUCUCGUCCUGACCUACGUCUUGCUUGCAGUGCUCCUUCAUCCAUUGCUGUGCCAAAGCUCGGCCACAUCGACCGUUGUAGAAGCUGCAAGUAGUGAUGGCAAGGCAAUCGAUCUGGGGAUAGCUUAUGUGCUUAUGAUCGUCGCACUACUCGUGACCUCUCUUGUCCACUGACUGUCGUACUGCAUUGGAUCGAUUGAUUUCUUUUCUCCCCCGAAAUAAUGUUCACUUUCCUCCGAUAUUGUGAUGGGACGAGUACUCAAACUUGUGCAUUAACUUCCUUGUUUGAGGAUUCUAUAAGCAAGAAUACUGAUAUAGAAAAUUAUGCAAGCAACACCCAAAUAUUGUAUCGGAAUUGUAUCUCCAUGUACUUGAUUUUAUAAAACAAGGAAGUCCUGUUUCCAACAUGUUUGCUUCCCUGUCGCUUACAGAGAAUUAAAAUGAUUCAUAGAAUUAA